AUCAUGGUUUUGCUGCCCUCUAGUGAGCAUACAUUUAACUACUACAGUUUCUGGUACUGUCUGAAAAAUGACAGUCAUAUCUUUUCUGGUUUACAAGGGAGAGGCCACAGCAGAGCAUCUAUCACUUUAAACACAUCUCAUACCUGUGUGAUGAGGUAGCCUUAGCCUGACCUCAUCACCAUUUUAAAAGGGGUUCAGCAGCGACACUGGUGUCAGGAAGUUUAUGGAGCAUCAGCCCCCCUGUUGGAAAGCCAGAGGUAGAUUUCCUCAGCCUUCACAAGCAUCUUCUGGUGACACCAUGGGUUGCCAACGAGGAGGUGAACACCGAGAAGGAUUCCACAGAGAAUGUAGACCUCAACCAGCUAGGCACUAUUCACCAAGGAGUAAUGUGACUGGAGAUUAAAUCUGAGCAACUCACUCUGAGCAACACCAACAGCAAGGACAACCGUAACAAAGAUGUCCUCCCCCUGCAAGAGAGGACGGAGCUGGAGGCAAAUAGCCAAAGAAGAAAAAGAACGCCAUUAGGAAGAUCUUCAGCCGCCUCUGGAGGAUCAUAACGUGUUCCUCUGGGAUCUUCAGAGAGGACGACAACUGAGCUGCCUCCAUUGUAAAUAACUGUUUUACAAGUUGAUACCACCAACUGUAACAUCAUCAUGGCCAAUUAUAUCAUUUUAUGUAAAUAACCCAAAAAUAAAAACUCAAUUUUGCCAAAAAG
rnacentral:lncRNA from 1 species